rnacentral:rRNA from 1 species
GACGAACGCUGGCGGCGUGCUUAACACAUGCAAGUCGAACGAUGAAGAAAAGAAUCGAAGCUUCGGCAGAAAUUCAUUUCGGAUUAGUGGCAGACGGGUGAGUAACGCGUGAGCAACCUACCUCUUACAAAGGGAUAGCCUCGGGAAACCGGGAUUAAUACCAUAUAACAUUGCGACGAAGCAUUUCGAUGCAAUCAAAGCUACGGCGGUAAGAGAUGGGCUCGCGUCCCAUUAACCGGAUGGUGAGGUAACGGCUCACCAUAGUGACGAUGGGUAACCGGCCUGAGAGGGUGAACGGUCACACUGGAAGUGAGACACGGUCCAGACUCCUACGGGAAGCAGCAGUGGGGAAUAUUGCACAAUGGAGGGAACUAUGAUGCAGCGACGCCGGGUGAGUGAUGAAGGAAUUCGUGUCGGAAAACGCUGUUCUAUGGGAAGAAAAGGACGGUACCAAAGGAGAAAGCUCCGGCUAAAUACGUG